rnacentral:rRNA from 1 species
GAUGAACGCUGGCGGCGUGCCUCAUACAUGCAAGUCGAGCGAACGGACGAGAAGCUUGCUUCUCUGAUGUUAGCGGCGGACGGGUGAGUAACACGUGGAUAACCUACCUAUAAGACUGGGAUAACUUCGGGAAACCGGAGCUAAUACCGGAUAAUAUUUUGAACCGCAUGGUUCAAAAGUGAAAGACGGUCUUGCUGUCACUUAUAGAUGGAUCCGCGCUGCAUUAGCUAGUUGGUAAGGUAACGGCUUACCAAGGCAACGAUGCAUAGCCGACCUGAGAGGGUGAUCGGCCACACUGGAACUGAGACACGGUCCAGACUCCUACGGGAGGCAGCAGUAGGGAAUCUUCCGCAAUGGGCGAAAGCCUGACGGAGCAACGCCGCGUGAGUGAUGAAGGUCUUCGGAUCGUAAAACUCUGUUAUUAGGGAAGAACGUAUGUGUAAGUAACUGUGCACAUCUUGACGGUACCUAAUCAGAAAGCCACGGCUAACUACGUGCCAGCAGCCGCGGUAAUACGUAGGUGGCAAGCGUUAUCCGGAAUUAUUGGGCGUAAAGCGCGCGUAGGCGGUUUUUUAAGUCUGAUGUGAAAGCCCACGGCUCAACCGUGGAGGGUCAUUGGAAACUGGAAAACUUGAGUGCAGAAGAGGAAAGUGGAAUUCCAUGUGUAGCGGUGAAAUGCGCAGAGAUAUGGAGGAACACCAGUGGCGAAGGCGACUUUCUGGUCUGUAACUGACGCUGAUGUGCGAAAGCGUGGGGAUCAAACAGGAUUAGAUACCCUGGUAGUCCACGCCGUAAACGAUGAGUGCUAAGUGUUAGGGGGUUUCCGCCCCUUAGUGCUGCAGCUAACGCAUUAAGCACUCCGCCUGGGGAGUACGACCGC